GAUUAACGCUGGCGGCGUGCAUAACACAUGCAAGUCGAACGAUGAAACUUAAAUGAUUUCUUCGGAAUGAACUUAAGUGGAUUAGUGGCGGACGGGUGAGUAACGCGUGAGUAACCUGCCUUACACAAGGGGAUAGCCGUUGGAAACGACGAAUAAUACCCUAUGAAACUAUCACUUCGCAUGAAGCGAUAGUCAAAGUGUUAGCGGUGUAAGAUGGACUUGCGUCUGAUUAGCUAGUUGGUGAGAAAAAAGCCCACCAAGGCAACGAUCAGUAGCCGGCUUGAGAGAGUGUACGGCCACAUUGGGACUGAGACACGGCCCAGACCCCUACGGGAGGCAGCAGUGGGGAAUUUUGCACAAUGGGGGAAACCCUGAUGCAGCGACGCCGCGUGAUUUAGAAGGCCUUCGGGUUGUAAAAAUCUUUUGUAUAGGAAGAAAAUGACAGUACUAUACGAAUAAGGUCCGGCUAAUUACGUG
rnacentral:rRNA from 1 species